rnacentral:rRNA from 1 species
AUUGAACGCUGGCGGCAGGCCUAACACAUGCAAGUCGAGCGGAGCGGCGGACGGGUGAGUAAUGCCUAGGAAUCUGCCUGGUAGUGGGGAUAACGUUCGGGAACGGGGGCUUAUACCGCAAACCAUUCGAUGAGCCUUGGUCGGAUUUGUUAGUUGGUGGGGUAAAGGCCUACCAAGGCGACGAUCCGUAACUGGUCCGAGAGGAUGAUCAGUCACACUGGAACUGAGACACGGUCCAGACUCCUACGGGAGGCAGCAGUGGGGAAUAUUGGACAAUGGGCGAAAGCCUGAUCCAGCCAUGCCGCGUGUGUGAAGAAGGUCUUCGGAUUGUAAAGCACUUUAAGUUGGGAGGCGUUACCAACAGAAUAAGCACCGGCUAACUUCGUGCCAGCAGCCGCGGUAAUUC